CAACUUGCAUCGCGUAGCGUGACGAGGUUAAUCCGAGUGACUCCCGCUGAGGGGGUCUUUUGUCAGCUGUAAAUAGGCAGGCGAAUAAGGGGAGGGCAAGCCUGGUGUCAGCCGCCGCGGUAAUACCAGCUCCUCGAGUGGUCGGGGCGAUUAUUGGGCCUAAAGCAUCCGUAGCCGGUUCCGUAGGUCCUCUGUUAAAUCCAACCGCUUAACGGUUGACCUGCAGAGGAUACCGCGGGACUAGGAGGCGGGAGAGGCGGACGGUACUCCGCGUGUAGGGGUAAAAUCCUUUGAUCCGCGGAAGACCACCAGUGGCGAAGGCGGUCCGCCAGAACGCGCUCGACGGUGAGGGAUGAAAGCUGGGGGAGCGAACCGGAUUAGAUACCCGGGUAGUCCCAGCCGUAAACGAUGCUAGCUAGAUGAUUCAUUCGCAAGUCGCGAAUGAAGUGUCGCAGGGAAGCCGUUAAGCUAGCCGCCUGGGGAGUACGGUCGCAAGACUGAAACU
rnacentral:rRNA from 1 species